CUGUGUAUGUGUGUGUGUGUAUGUUUGAUGUGUGUGUGUGUUUGUGUUAAAGAUAAAGUGGGAUAAAUGUAAGUUCAUAGAUGAACGUUCAGCGCUCAGGUGCUUAGUGUUCGCUUAAGGCCAGCGGGAUGAUGACUGAUCUCUCCUCCCUAGUGGGCUCAUUAACACCAGAAUAGAACAGGGUCAUUGGGGCCUGUAACCAAUCCCGAGGAAAACUGGCCAUUAGGUGGGAGGACACACUGGAUGGGGUGCCAAGCCAUUGACUUGACUCAUUGUGUGAGUUUGAGAAGUUUUACUCAUCAUGGAGAUGGAAGGUCUAUGAUCGCCAGUCACAUACACAGAUGUCCCUUCUGGCUGCCAUGGAUGCUGCAUGUGAGGAUAUCACCGUGGAAGCCCGCAGAGCCUGGAUUAGACACUCAAG